rnacentral:rRNA from 1 species
CAGCCGCGCGGGAAUACGUAGGUGGCAAGCGUUGUCCGGAAUUAUUGGGCGUAAAGCGCGCGCAGGCGGAUCGGUCAGUCUGUCUUAAAAGUUCGGGGCUUAACCCCGUGAUGGGAUGGAAACUGCCAAUCUAGAGUAUCGGAGAGGAAAGUGGAAUUCCUAGUGUAGCGGUGAAAUGCGUAGAUAUUAGGAAGAACACCAGUGGCGAAGGCGACUUUCUGGACGAAAACUGACGCUGAGGCGCGAAAGCCAGGGGAGCGAACGGGAUUAGAUACACCAGUAGUCCCUGUCUCUUAUACAC